UACGUAGGGGGCAAGCGUUGUCCGGAUUUAUUGGGCGUAAAGAGCGUGUAGGCGGCCAGGUAGGUCCGUUGUGAAAACUGGAGGCUUAACCUCCAGCUGUCGAUGGAAACCAUCUAGCUAGAGUCCGGAAGAGGAGAGUGGAAUUCCUGGUGUAGCGGUGAAAUGCGCAGAUAUCAGGAAGAACACCCGUGGCGAAGGCGGCUCUCUGGGACGGUACUGACGCUGAGACGCGAAAGCGUGGGGAGCGAACAGG
rnacentral:rRNA from 1 species